GUGGGGAAUAUUGGACAAUGGGCGAAAGCCUGAUCCAGCCAUGCCGCGUGUGUGAAGAAGGUCUUCGGAUUGUAAAGCACUUUAAGUUGGGAGGAAGGGCAGUAAGUUAAUACCUUGCUGUUUUGACGUUACCGACAGAAUAAGCACCGGCUAACUUCGGGCCAGCAGCCGCGGUAAUACGAAGGGUGCAAGCGUUAAUAGGAAUUACUUGGCGUAAAGCGCGCGCAGGUGGUUUUGUAAGUUGGAGGAGAAAUCCCCGGGCUCAAACUGGGAACUGCCUCCAAAACUGCAUGACUAGAGUACGGUAGAAGGUAGUGAAUUUCCUGUGUAGCGGUGAAAUGCGUAGAUAUAGGAAGGAACACCAGUGGCGAAGGCGACUACCUGGACUGAUACUGACACUGAGGUGCGAAAGCGUGGGGAGCAAACAGGAUUAGAAACCCGUGUAGUCC
rnacentral:rRNA from 1 species